rnacentral:misc_RNA from 1 species
UUCACCACAUAAAUUCCACUGAAUAUGCAGAAAAUAGCAAACAAAUGAUUAUAACAUGAAACUUCUUUGGAAAUAUUUGGCGGACUCUGGUGCUGCUGCACAAUAGAAGAAUGCACAUAAAAAUUGUGAGGCAUGACACUUGCUCCAAGAAGACUCAUAAGAGUAAAGGCACUUUCCCCAUUUAACCUUGUCAGCAUGAGAUUCAUAGAAAGUGGGAUUUCAGGUUGACUGAUUAAUACUCCAAGAACCAAAGAGAGCAGUAUAAACCCCGCCAUGCAUAUAUACAGGAACUUUGCCCUGCCAUCUUCCAGAAGGUCAGCAAAAGGGGGAAAUAAAGCAGCAGCAACACCCGUCAAAAGGACACACGUGAAGAGGUCCCACCCAAGUAGAAGAUUAAGUCCAUGUGAAAUGCCCAAGAUCAUGUUAAGGUCUAACAUAAUCACAGAAGCCUCUGCUUGGAUUCCCAGGAAGAAACAUGUACACUUAUCAUACUCCUCGCUGCAAAUCUGGGCAAGACCUCUUCCAGUGACCACACCAAUGCUAGCCGAG